AGCUGGGAAAACGGCAAUGGAUUAAUAACAAGAAAUUAAUGGUGAAGUGGUGACGAAAAUUCUACAUUGCUUAGAAAGCAAAUAGUGAAAUGAACAUUUACAUUCUGGCAACCUCAGAAGUACAACGAACAGAGGACACCAGCCAGGUAGGGCAAAGGCCUGUGCGCCCCCUUUUGCUGUUACAUGUUUAUCAGAUGCGUGCUCUGUUUCUGUUGUAUUACAUUACUUUUCUCUUCAAUGUCUACUGAGGAAGAACAAGUAGCUCCUCAGGCAAGUCAACUGUUAACUCUGCAGUUUUUAUUUAAUCUCCCAGGAAUGUAACCCUUAACUUUAAAGAAUGUAGUGACCAUAAAACUUAUAAGGCAUGUUUCUUAAGGAAAUUGUACCUGUUUAUUUAAUCUAUCAGAUAUGAAUGUUAUAGAAAAUUAAAUUUGUCCACUUAAGCUGUAGAUGAACUUUUCACCUUUCUGAUCAGAAAUUCACCAUUUUAUAGUAUAGGUUCUGUUAU
rnacentral:lncRNA from 1 species